CUUGUGGUUCAUAGAUAUCUUGAGUAGGUUUCCAUGUCAUUCUAUGAGAUGUGCCUAAUUCAAACCUUGUUAC
rnacentral:snoRNA from 1 species